rnacentral:rRNA from 1 species
UAGUACCGUGAGGGAAAGGUGAAAAGAACCCCGAGAGGGGAGUGAAAUAGAACUGAAACCAUAAACCUACAAACCGUGGGAGCUUGUAUUUAUAUGAGUGACCGCGUGCCUAUUGAAGAAUGAGCCAACGAGUUACUUGGUACGGCAAGAUUAAGAAGUUAAGCUUUGAAGUCGAAGCGAAAGCAAGUCUGAAUAGGGCGAAUUAGUCGUGUCAAGUAGACCCGAAACCGUGUGAGCUACCUAUGGCCAGGUUGAAGCGAGAGUAAAAUCUUGUGAAGGACCGAACCCGUGUACGCUGCAAAGUGCUGGGAUGAGCUGUGGGUAGAGGUAAAAUGCCAAACGAACACGGAGAUAGCUGGUUCUCUCCGAAAUGUAUUUAGGUACAGCGUUAUGUAAUACUUCAUGGAGGUAGAGCACUGGAUAGACUAGGGGGCGCAAGCUUACCAAACCUAACCAAACUCCGAAUACCAUGAAGGGUAUCAUAGCAGUGAGACUGUGGGGGAUAAGCUCCAUUGUCGAAAGGGAAACAGCCCAGAUCGCAAGUUAAGGUCCCUAAGUAUAUGCUAAGUGUUAAACGAAGUAGGGUCGCCCAGACAGCCAGGAGGUUGGCUUAGAAGCAGCCAUCCUUUAAAGAGUGCGUAAUAGCCCACUGGUCAAGGGGCCCCGCACGGAAAAUAAACGGGGCUAAGCAUAUCACCGAGACUGCGGGAUCUAUUUAUAGAUCGGUAGGAGAGUGUCGUUAAAGCAUUGAAGCUAAGCUGUAAGGCUUGGUGGAGUUUUAACAAGUAAGAAUGUUGGCAUGAGUAGCAAAAAUGCCGGUGAGAAUCCGGCAGGCCGUAAGUCUAAGGAUUCCUACGCAACGUUGAUCGGCGUAGGGUUAGUCGGUCCUAAGGCGUAUCCGAAAGGAAAAGUCGAUGGACAGCUGGUGAAUAUUCCAGCACCUAUAAUUAAUUGUUUGAGUCAAAGGGGUGACGCAGAAAGAUAAACAGAGCAUACGUAUUGGACAUCGUGUGUUUUUGCCUGUAGAUGAGUAGAGAAGGUUAAAAUAUUUUCUACGUUUGAAUUGAGGGGUAAGAAAACUAUGAGGUUCGCCUCGUAGAAUUCUGUCGACUCUAAACUGCCAAGAAAAGCCUCGUUGAUUAGAUUUUUCAUAGACCGUACCGCAAACCAACACAGGUAGACAGGGAUAAACGUCCCAAGGCCAUCGAGAGAACCAUCGUUAAGGAACUCGGCAAAUUGACCCCGUAACUUAGGGAGAAGGGGGACCUUUUGUGUAUAUGAGUUUACCUCAAAAAGCAUGGAAGGUAGCAUAAAAUAGGCUGAAGCGACUGUUUACCAAAAACACAGGUCCAUGCCAAAGCGAAAGCUGAUGUAUAUGGGCUGACGCCUGCCCAGUGCCGGUAGGUUAAGGAAAGUUGUGCAAGCAACUGACUGAAGCCCCGGUGAACGGCGGCCGUAACUAUAACGGUCCUAAGGUAGCGAAGUCCCUUGUCGGGUAAGUUCCGACCCGCACGAAUGGCGUAACGACUUCAGCACUGUCUCAACGAUGGACUCGGUGAAAUUGCAGGACCGGUAAAGAUGCCGGUUACGCGCAGCAGGACAAAAAGACCCCGUGGAGCUUUACUGCAACUUGGCAUUGGUUCGAGUUUUAAAAUGUGUAGGAUAGGCGGGAGACUUUGAACUCUAGGCGUUAGCCUAGGGGGAGUCGCCCUUGAAAUACCGCCCUUUUUAUGAUUUGGACCUAACACUUUUGGACAGUGUCUGGUGGGCAGUUUGACUGGGGCGGUCGCCUCCCAAAGAGUAACGGAGGCGUACAAAGGUCACCUCAGGCUGGAUGGAAAUCAGCUUUUGAGUGCAUUGGCAUAAGGUGGCUUGACUGCGAGACAUACAAGUCGAGCAGGGACGAAAGUCGGUCAAAGUGAUCCCACGGUUCCGAGUGGAAGGGCCGUGGCUUAACGGAU